rnacentral:rRNA from 1 species
AGCACCCACUAAUAGCGAUUCGAGUGAACAUUAAAAGCUCAUCUUGAACCAAGGGAAAGGCUGACCGGUCCGCCUCACCGCGAGUACUGGUCCUUCUCGGACCUUUCCUUCUGGGGAACCCCAUGGCCUUCACUGGCCGUGGGUGGGAACCAGGACUUUUACUGUGAAAAAAUUACAGUCGCUCUCAUAAGCUAGGCCUUUCGUUCGAAAUACAAUUAACAAUGGUUUUAAUCU